rnacentral:rRNA from 1 species
GACGAACGCUGGCGGCGUGCUUAACACAUGCAAGUCGAACGGAAAGGCCCCUUUGGGGGUCCUCGAGUGGCGAACGGGUGAGUAACACGUGAGUAACCUGCCCUUGACUUCGGGAUAACUUCAGGAAACUGGGGCUAAUACCGGAUAGGAAUCCUUGCUGCAUGGUGGGGGUUGGAAAGCUUCGGCGGUUUUGGAUGGACUCGCGGCUUAUCAGCUUGUUGGUGGGGUAGUGGCUUACCAAGGCUUUGACGGGUAGCCGGCCUGAGAGGGCGACCGGCCACAUUGGGACUGAGAGACGGCCCAGACUCCUACGGGAGGCAGCAGUGGGGAAUAUUGCACAAGGGGCGGAAGCCUGAUGCAGCAACGCCGCGUGCGGGAUGACGGCCUUCGGGUUGUAAACCGCUUUCAGCAGGGGCGAAGCUUGUGGUGACGGUACCUGCAGAAGAAGCACCGGCUAACUACGUG